rnacentral:rRNA from 1 species
UACGUAGGGGGCAAGCGUUGUCCGGAUUUAUUGGGCGUAAAGAGCGUGUAGGCGGCCAGACAGGUCCGUUGUGAAAACUAGAGGCUUAACCUCUAGACGUCGAUGGAAACCGUUUGGCUAGAGUCCGGAAGAGGAGAAUGGAAUUCCUGGUGUAGCGGUGACAUGCGCAGAUAUCAGGAAGAACACCCGUGGCUAAGGCGGUUCUCUAGUACGGUACUGACGCUGAGACGCGAAAGCGUGGGGAGCGAACAGG